UACGGAGGGGGCUAGCGUUGUUCGGAAUUACUGGGCGUAAAGCGCACGUAGGCGGCUUUGCAAGUUAGAGGUGAAAGCCCGGGGCUCAACUCCGGAAUUGCCUUUAAAACUGCAUCGCUAGAGUUGUGGAGAGGUAAGUGGAAUUCCGAGUGUAGAGGUGAAAUUCGUAGAUAUUCGGAAGAACACCAGUGGCGAAGGCGGCUUGCCAGAACGCGCUCGACGGUGAGGGAUGAAAGCUGGGGGAGCAAACCCG
rnacentral:rRNA from 1 species